ACCUUACUGACGAGUGUCAAAUAACACGAAACCCAGGUCCAAGGU
rfam:Schistosoma mansoni strain Puerto Rico chromosome 1, complete genome